UGAGAAAUGGUCCCUCAUGCAGAGGUCGCACAGGGCUGAAGCCAAACGAGGUGCACCUUCGGGCUGAAAGGGUCCGUCCUUUGAGUGGGGCCGGAAUCAAUGUCGGCACUAAGAAAGUCACUGGUGUGGUGGAAUUGGAGUGUCCCCAUUUCAGAAUAUUCUGGCCACUUCGGCUUGACACUGAUGACUAAAAUUCCACUGCUCAAGUUCAUCUAUUCAGGCUGAAAACAUGUCUGUUGUUGAAAUGUAACCCUUUAGUGAGAGAUAACACAUUUUCCUGCUGCGUAUACCAGGACCUUUGGGGUGGCAAGUGACAGAAACUGAACUCGAAAUGGCAUAAGCAUAAAACAGGAUUUAACUGGUUCAGUAAUCAGGGUAGACUGGCUUCAAGCACAGCCAGAUCAGGUGCCAAAACAAUGUCAUCAGAAAUCUAUCUUUUGGAGUUCCCAUCGUGGCUCACUGGAGCUGUGGUGGCUCCAAUCAGAGCUACAGCUGCUGGCCUACACCACAGCCACAGCCACAGCCACAGCCAUGCCAGAUGUGAGUCAUGUCUGUGACCUACGUCACAGCUCAUAGCAAUGCCGGAUCUUUAACCUACCGAGCGAGGCCAGGGAUCAAACCCACAACCUCAUGGUUCCUAGUUGGAUUUGUUUCUGCUGCGCCAUGAUGGGAACUCCCGGUUUUCAUACCUCCAAAUGUAAUAACUAGCAGAGACCAGCUCCUAAUAGAUGAGACUUAACAGAGGUUGUACAGACAAGUCUAAAGUGAGGGACACCAUACUGGGAAACCAGGCAGGGUUGGGGUCAGAGCAUUAGGGCUCCUGAGGACAUAGGGGCCAAGCCAGGGGCUCUGAGAUUUUAACAAUACACUCUCAGAGGCAGAGAAAAUUUCAAAACCAUGCAAAAAGUAGCAGAGAAAUUCCAGGUAGCCUGACAGGUACGGGGCAGGCGACAAGCACUGCAGUUCACAAUUCGUACCACUGGGCUUCUCCUGACCUGCAUGCUUAGCCUUCAGCCUUGCUUAACAGAAAUGAAAUAAUCUUGUAAGAGUUUCUAUAUCAGAAUCCAGGGAUAUUUCAUCAUGUUUCGUGAGGUGUAUGUGUGCCUGGCAGGGACAAUAGGAUAAAAUCAGGGAAGGCAUCCUGACUCAUCUGCUGGACCAACCCACCAUCUCUGUGUGGUUCCCACCACAGGCAGCUAAGAUUUAUCCAGCACCAUAUUUUUUUUUUUAUUCUUAUUUUUCACUUUUUGCUUUUUAGGGCCGGCACAUGGAUGCUCCCAGGGUAGGGGUCGAAUCGGAGCCACAGCUGCUGGCCUGCACCACAGCCACAGCAACACCAGAUCUGAGCUGAGUCAGCAACCUACACUGUGGCUUACGGCAAUGCCAGAUCCUUAACCCAUGGAGCAAGGUCAGGGAUUGAACUCACAUCUUCAUGGAUACUAGUUGGGUUCUUAACCUGCUAAGCCACAAUGGGAACUCCCCAGCACCAUAUGACAACAAACCCAUGAGGUCCAGCCUAGAGCUCCAGUCCUAGGUGAGGAACCAGGGCUUGCAGAAAGGGGAAGUGAUUUGCCAGCCAGUGGGUGUGGGGCCAGGAUGGAGACCCUAGUCAUGGGAUUCCAGAGCCUACAUCCCUAAACCUCAUUCCACAAGCAAGGAUCUGAAACCAGGAAGCGUUGGGGAAGAAUGGAGAGAAGAAUUACAAGGAGAAAAGCUUGAUGUUUAAAGCAAUCGGCAAUAAGGGGUAGGGGGGAAAAAAUCCAGGUAUACAAGACAUGGUUGCUGAGCAUCUCGGAACAGGACCAAGGAGCCAACAGAGUAUGAGAACAUGCUGCCCUUUAUUUGUUAAAGAUGAUAUGACUACAGGUGAAGUGAGCACAUAAUUGAUUCUCUAAACACAGACCUUUAGCGAAUGAGAGGACACAUUAAUAAUCAUACCAGGAAGACUGUGAUAAAUCAAGACUGGCUUGGGAGAAUCAGGACACAGGGUCACCUUAACCAGAGCUACUAAUGGUAGGGCUUGGCUUUAUUCUAAUAGUGGUGAUGGAUAUGCGUGGAUCCAUCCACAGCCCCUCAGAGUCCCUUCCAUCAUCCUUCUGUGGGUUGCAGAAUGGCCAGUGAGGGCUGUAUCAAUGGGCUUUGAUCUUUGUAGCCCUGUUCUCUACCUAACCAUAAUAUAGUCAGGGGACAAAAGACACAGCUUAAAUAAUUAAUGUUCUAAAUUACACCGACAAUUAACUAAGGAAGGCAGUACAUCAGAAUGGCUAAUGGAUAUCACUUUGAGGUUUAAAUCUCAGCUAAGUGAUCUCAGGCAAGAUUUAGUGGGAGUUCAGAUUCCUGAUCUGUGAAAUGAGAACAAGAGCACACACUGAGCUCUCAUUUCAUCCUUAGGGGUGGGGCUAAGCACUUUCUGUGGAUUAUUUAAUUCCAUCACCAUCACAGCCUCAUGAGGCAGGUACUAUUAUUAUCUCCAUUUUGCAGACCAAGGCACUAACGCUCAGGGGGGUUAAGAACUUACUCGGGGUCACACAAUUAAUAAACACCUAUCUGGUGGGGGCUGUUUUGAUGAUUAAAUGAAUCAAAUCUUAUUAAAAACUUAGCAUAUUGACUGAAAGCCAAGUGAAAGCCCUGCAUAAAUGUUAGCCUUUAAUGAUGAUAAUGUAAUAUUCAGUAUUAUUGCUAUCUUACAUUUGUAAUUUGGAAGACACUAAUCUGGAUCAUAUUUCUAACCCACCAAAAGGCAGGAAGGUCCUCGGAAUAAAAACCCUUAAUACCCCUUAAUAUCCUAAGAGGACAGCAAUGUCAACCUGAACCAUCUCUGAAAGCCCCAGGAAUCUGAAACAUCCAGGCACUUCUUGCUGCAGCUGGGAAAAGAAAAUAUUCAUAUGUAUCCUUAAACCCAGGCAGUUAU
rnacentral:lncRNA from 1 species